GAUGAACGCUAGCGGCAGGCCUAACACAUGCAAGUCGAGGGGUAGCAGGAUUAAGCUUGCUUAAUUGCUGACGACCGGCGCACGGGUGCGUAACGCGUAUGCAACCUACCUUAUACUGGGGUAUAGCCCGGAGAAAUUCGGAUUAAUCCCCCAUAGUACUAAUGAAUCGCAUGGUUUAUUAGUUAAAGCAUUGCGGUAUAAGAUGGGCAUGCGUCCUAUUAGCUAGAUGGUGAGGUAACGGCUCACCAUGGUUACGAUAGGUAGGGACCUUGGAGGGUGGUCCCCCACACUGGUACUGAGACACGGACCAGACUCCUACGGGAGGCAGCAGUGAGGAAUAUUGGUCAAUGGGCGCAAGCCUGAACCAGCCAUGCCGCGUGCAGGAAGAAUGCCCUAUGGGUUGUAAACUGCUUUUAUUUGGGAAUAAACCUCUUUACGUGUAGAGAGCUGAAGGUACCAAAUGAAUAAGCACCGGCUAACUCCGUGCCAGCAGCCGCCGUAA
rnacentral:rRNA from 1 species